rnacentral:rRNA from 1 species
UACAGAGGGGGCAAGCGUUGUUCGGAAUUACUGGGCGUAAAGGGCGCGUAGGCGGCCUUCUAAGUCGAACGUGAAAUCCCCGGGCUCAACCCGGGAACUGCGUCCGAUACUGGAAGGCUUGAAUUCGGGAGAGGGAUGCAGAAUUCCAGGUGUAGCGGUGAAAUGCGUAGAUAUCUGGAGGAACACCGGUGGCGAAGGCGGCAUCCUGGACCGGCAUUGACGCUGAGGCGCGAAAGCCAGGGGAGCAAACGGG